GGGACACGUGGUAUCCUGUCUGAAUAUGGGGGGACCAUCCUCCAAGGCUAAAUACUCCUGACUGACCGAUAGUGAACCAGUACCGUGAGGGAAAGGCGAAAAGAACCCCGGCGAGGGGAGUGAAAAAGAACCUGAAACCGUGUACGUACAAGCAGUGGGAGCACAGGUUUACCUGUGUGACUGCGUACCUUUUGUAUAAUGGGUCAGCGACUUAUAUUCUGUAGCAAGGUUAACCGAAUAGGGGAGCCGGAGGGAAACCGAGUCUUAACCGGGCGUUAAGUUGCAGGGUAUAGACCCGAAACCCGGUGAUCUAGCCAUGGGCAGGUUGAAGGUUGGGUAACACUAACUGGAGGACCGAACCGACUAAUGUUGAAAAAUUAGCGGAUGACCUGUGGCUGGGGGUGAAAGGCCAAUCAAACCGGGAGAUAGCUGGUUCUCCCCGAAAGCUAUUUAGGUAGCGCCUCGUGAAUUCAUCUCCGGGGGUAGAGCACUGUUUCGGCUAGGGGGCCAUCCCGGCUUACCAAC
rnacentral:rRNA from 1 species